rnacentral:lncRNA from 1 species
UUUCAGUCUUUUCUUCCUCCCUCCUGUGCCUCUGGUUUCCACGGCGAGCAGGGCAGAGGAGGAGGAAGAGGAGGAGGAUUAGGGUUCGAAGUGGGGCGGAGCAGGAGGGGGCCAUGGCGGCGAGCAUCUCGUCAGCGGCGACGACGACCUUGAGCAUCCACAAGCUCUGCGGCGGUAGGGGCUGUGCCCCGGCGGAGGCGCCGCCGAGGCAGCAAGGCAGCGUCCUCUGCUUCUUCCACCCGCUUCCCUUCGCCGGCCACGACCGCUGCCACCGCGCCGGCGUCGGCGGCGCGAGCUUGGCGCAUCCGCUUCGUCUCAGGACGAAGAGGCGGAAGGCGUUGACGCUCUGCUUCGUCCUGGCGGACGACAGGAGGCAGGUGGACGCGGGGAAGGAGGAGGCGGCGGCGACCGAAUCAGACAGCGGAGCGACGACGACGACGAGCGAGAUCCAAUUCGAGGAGGCGCUCGCCCUGGGGGCGUCGGCGGCGCGGGCGGCGGAGCGGCAGGCGAGAAAGAAGGCGGAGCGUCAGACCUAUCUCGUGGCCGCCGUAAUGUCGAGCCUCGGGAUCACCUCCAUGGCCAUUGCCGC